AACGAACGCUGGCGGCAGGCUUAACACAUGCAAGUCGAACGCGUGUAGCAAUACACGAGUGGCGCACGGGUGAGUAACGCGUGGAUAUCUGCCUUUUGGUUCGGAAUAACCCCGGGAAACUGGGGCUAAUACCGGAUGGUUCCUUCGGGACAAAGAUUUAUCGCCAAAAGAUGAGUCCGCGUACGAUUAGCUAGUUGGUGAGGUAAUGGCUCACCAAGGCGACGAUCGUUAGCUGGUCNGAGAGGACGAUCAGCCACACUGGGACUGAGACACGGCCCAGACUCCUACGGGAGGCAGCAGUGGGGAAUAUUGGACAAUGGGGGGCAACCCUGAUCCAGCCAUGCCGCGUGAGUGAUGAAGGCCUU
rnacentral:rRNA from 1 species